UCAACGGGUUAGACUACAUAGAAAGACUAGUGCUCGCUUCAGAGCCUAGUUCCUGAUCUCAGUUUGUAAGUGAACAUUCAGGAGGGAGCCCAUGGCCUGGAGAGAAAGCUGGUGACCAGGGAAGAGCAGAAGAGUGGUUUCCACUGCCACCUGCCAUGAUGAGCUGCCACUGGCGCAGCAGCUGAAUCUGCAGGUGCAGCGAUUGCAACCGAGAAAGACCGGAGGAGAAAGAUAGCCCUAUGUGGCAGCAGCAGCCACGGGGCAGAAUUUGCAUCUGUAUUACAUUCAUGGUGGAUAGAAAAGAACUUACACAUUAGCCUGUGAAUCAACCUCAGAAAAGUGUGAGGCAGGAAGAUAUUUACUCUAGUACUGGUUGGCGAGGAAGGAGAGCAUCACGAUGGAGGAAGGGUAUUGCAUCUGAGAAAAGGAGCAUUAUCUGAAAGACCAUCUGAUGAAGAACCUCAGCCCCCUG